rnacentral:rRNA from 1 species
UACGUAGGGUGCAAGCGUUAAUCGGAAUUACUGGGCGUAAAGCGUGCGCAGGCGGUUUUGUAAGUCUGACGUGAAAUCCCCGGGCUCAACCUGGGAAUUGCGUUGGAGACUGCAAGGCUGGAGUCUGGUAGAGGGGGGUAGAAUUCCACGUGUAGCAGUGAAAUGCGUAGAGAUGUGGAGGAACACCGAUGGCGAAGGCAGCCCCCUGGGUCAAGACUGACGCUCAUGCACGAAAGCGUGGGGAGCAAACAGG